rnacentral:rRNA from 1 species
UACGUAGGGUGCGAGCGUUGCCCGGAUUUAUUGGGCGUAAAGGGCGCGUAGGCGGCCACGCACGUCCGUUGUGAAAUCGCCCGGCUCAACUGGGCGGGGUCGGCGGAUACGGCGUGGCUGGAGCAAGCUAGGGGGCAAUGGAAUUCCCGGUGUAGUGGUGGAAUGCGUAGAUAUCCGGAGGAACACCGAAGGCGAAGGCAGUGUCCUGGGGAGUACCUGACGCUCAGGUGCGAAAGCCAGGGGAGCGAACGGG